AAAUGACUGUCGUCUUAGGUUUUCCCAGGUUGCAGUGUGGCCCAGGACAUUACAUCACUAGUCAGGUGUUCAGAGGGAUCCUGUCUUUGCUUCAAUGGGUGAAGCCACCUCUGGGUGGCAGGAAGAUCAUUCUGCAGUGAAUUGUUUGUUUUCAACAGCUGGAGGCACCCUGGUUAGAAAACACUGGUCUAUUGCAUUAAAGGGAGCACAGCCUGCAGGAGCUAUUUAUUUCUUGGAAUAAUCUGCUGGUCAUAAGCUGCUCCAGACCCCCUAGAUCAGAGGAAGCGCAUCCACAUAAAUGUGUUUUCCCUGACAGAGAUAGGCAGAAAAAACUAAUCUGAAUGUAUAAUACACAACAUUUCUGAGAGCUCUGUCUAUUUUAGACAAGCCAUUAAGCUAUGAAAUCCGGACACAGGCCGUCUGCUUAGAAGAGUUGUGCAGAGCUUCGAACUGAUGUUUGACUUUUUUUAUUUUCUAUAAUGAAGUCUUAACAUUUCUGCAAUAAAAUAUUUUGGA